GCCGAGGUGGCGAAAUUGGUAGACGCGCACGCUUGAGGUGCGUGUCCUGUAAAAAGGAUGGAGGUUCAAGUCCUCUCCUCGGCACAA
rnacentral:tRNA from 1 species